rnacentral:rRNA from 1 species
AACGCUGGCGGCGUGCUUAACACAUGCAAGUCGAACGAGAACGCUCAGCUUGCUGAGGCAAGUAAAGUGGCGCACGGGUGAGUAACGCGUGGGUAAUCUACCUCCGAAUUGGGGAUAACAUUGCGAAAGCGGUGCUAAUACCGAAUAAUAUCCUCAAGACUCAGGUUUUGAGGACCAAAGGUGGCCUCUACAUGUAAGCUACUGUUUGGAGAUGAGCCCGCGUACCAUUAGCUUGUUGGUGGGGUAACGGCCUACCAAGGCUGCGAUGGUUAGCUGGUCUGAGAGGAUGAUCAGCCACACUGGAACUGACACACGGUCCAGACUCCUACGGGAGGCAGCAGUGAGGAAUUUUGCGCAAUGGGGGAAACCCUGACGCAGCAACGCCGCGUGAGUGAUGAAGGCCUUCGGGUCGUAAAGCUCUGUCAAGUGGGAAGAAUCUGUCCGGUGAUAAUACCGCUGGGCAAUGACGGUACCGCUGAAGGAAGCACCGGCUAACUCCGUG